ensembl:lncRNA
AGAAAACACACACACACACACACACACACACACACACACAGACACACACACACACACCUGUCCACCUGACCUCCUGUUGACCCCCACCUGAUCAGCUAGUCGCCCCUCUCCCUCGCCGCUCUCGCCCCUCUCUCUCUCUCUCUCGCUCUCCGGCGCCAUCAGUAUUAUAUUUAAGAAACUCGGACCCCCGCCAGCCUAUUAGAGACCCCCCCUCCCUCGGUUCUGCUCCUACAGAACCGGGUCCCUGGUGACCCCCCACGAGGGGCCGUGUGGACCCCGCCCCCAGGGGCCAGCACUGUCAGAGCCCCUCUGUCUGAAGAUCGUUUUGUGCCUUAACGCGUGUGAUGUGUAAUGAUUUAUGGAUAAUGUGUUGUUCUGGGCGUGUGUGUGUCUGUGUGUUGCGGUGUCUUUGUGUCGUGUGGUUUCGUGGUGUACUUUGGGUUGCUUUCGGAGGGAUGGACCGACACUGUUUCCCAGAGUCUGACGUGUACAGACCUGGAGCCAAAAUGAUGGACAUGUGGUGGAUGUCCCUCUCAGACACUGAUCUGCUCGCUGUUCCUCACAGACGAUAAGCUGUCUCCACUCCUGAUGGAGCACGACCCGGUGCACAUCCCUCCUCCCUUUCCUUUGGUUCCGUUGUGUGUGUGUGUGUGUGUGUGUGUGUGUGUGUGUGUGUGUGUGUGUGUGUGUGUGUGUGUGUGUGUGUGUGUGUGUGUGUGUGUGUGUGUGUGGUCAAAUGACCUAAUUUACAUAACAAGUGGUAAUCUCGUUAAUCAGAGAUAAUCUGAGAAGUGAUUUCCUGUCCCAGCGAGAGAGUGAUGAGCAGCAUGACCCAGCGCCCCGACCGGUGACGUUAAACACAUCAAAUCACAUCCAGUCAGAUCCUUUGGACCAAAGGGACUUCAGAGCAUCCAACAAUGAAGAUACAUCCCAAAAAGAGCAACAAUCAUGCAAUGGCAUCAAAUAUAACAAAUAAAUAAACUGCUUCAAGUGCUACAUUUUAGAAG